GAUGAACGCUGGCGGCGUGCCUAGUACAUGCAAGUCGAGCGAACGGACGAGAAGCUUGCUUCUCUGAUGUUAGCGGCGGACGGGUGAGUAACACGUGGAUAACCUACCUAUAAGACUGGGAUAACUUCGGGAAACCGGAGCUAAUACCGGAUAAUAUUUUGAACCGCAUGGUUCAAAAGUGAAAGACGGUCUUGCUGUCACUUAUAGAUGGAUCCGCGCUGCAUUAGCUAGUUGGUAAGGUAACGGCUUACCAAGGCAACGAUGCAUAGCCGACCUGAGAGGGUGAUCGGCCACACUGGAACUGAGACACGGUCCAGACUCCUACGAGAGGCAGCAGUAGGGAAUCUUCCGCAAUGGGCGAAAGCCUGACGGAGCAACGCCGCGUGAGUGAUGAAGGUCUUCGGAUCGUAAAACUCUGUUAUUAGGGAAGAACAUAUGUGUAAGUAACUGUGCACAUCUUGACGGUACCUAAUCAGAAAGCCACGGCUAACUACGUG
rnacentral:rRNA from 1 species